CAAGUACUUCCUCCGUCCGAAAAUACUUGUUGAAGAGAUUAAUGUAUCUAGAAGUAUUUUAAUUCUAGAUACGUCCAUUUCUAUUCGUUUCCACGCCAAGUAAUUUCAGGCGGAGGGAGUAACAG
rfam:Hordeum vulgare subsp. vulgare, WGS project CAJW01000000 data, contig: morex_contig_1648387